rnacentral:rRNA from 1 species
UACAGAGGGUGCAAGCGUUAAUCGGAAUUACUGGGCGUAAAGCGUGCGUAGACGGUUAUUUAAGUCAGGUGUGAAAGCCCCGGGCUCAACCUGGGAAUUGCAUUUGAGACUGAAUAGCUAGGGUGCGGAAGAGGGAAGCGGAAUUCCUGGUGUAGCGGUGAAAUGCGUAGAUAUCAGGAGGAACACCGGUGGCGAAGGCGGCUUUCUGGACAGAUACCGACGCUGAGGCACGAAAGCUAGGGGAGCAAACAGG